CGCCCGUCAAACCACGAGAGUUGGCAAUGCCAGAAGUCGGUGUCCUAACCGCAAGGAGGGAGCUGCCAAAGGCAGGGUUGAUGAUUGGGGUUAAGUCGUAACAAGGUAUCCCUACCGGAAGGUGGGGAUGGAUCACCUCCUUUCUAUGGAGUUUAGUUUCUAAUAAGAAACCAAGACAACAAGAAAAAUUAGAUGGAUGAUUUAUUGGAUUACUUCUUUUGUUCUGUUUAGUUUUCAGGGAUUGUUUUCUCUGAGCAAUUGUUCUUUAAAAACUGGAUAAUAGACAUCUUUAAAAAAAUAAGAUAAUUUUUAUCUUGCAAUAGGAUAUUCUAAAAAUAAAUUAUUAAGAGAGUAUGGUGGAUGCCUUGGAAUUGGAAGACGAUGAAGGACGCGAUUACCUGCGAUAAGCUUCGGGGAGCUGGAAAUAAGCUUUGAUCCGGAGAUGUCCGAAUGGGGAAACCCACUAUCUCUAAUCAGAUAGUUACUGUACAAUAAAUUCAUAGUUGUGCAGAGUGAUACCUAGAGAAUUGAAACAUCUUAGUACCUAGAGGAAAAGAAAGCGAAUGCGAUUCCCUUAGUAGCGGCAAGCGAAAAGGGAGCAGCCUAACCAGUGGUCAGACUGGGGUUAUAGGACUGUCUAUUAGGUUCGACCUAUGAAGAGUUACAAAAUUUAUAUAUAGCAGAAGUUGUUGGGAAGCAACGCCAUAGAUGGUGGAAGCCCAGUAUGCGAAAUAUAUAAAUCUCUUGACAGUAUCCUGAGUACGGCGAGGCACGUGGAACCUUGUCGGAAUUUGCGCAGACUACUGCGUAAGGCUAAAUACUAUAACCAAUUACCGAUAGUGAACCA
rnacentral:sRNA from 1 species